rnacentral:rRNA from 1 species
AACGAACGCUGGCGGCGUGCCUAACACAUGCAAGUCGAGCGAGAAAGCCCGCAAGGGUGAGUAAAGCGGCGCACGGGUGCGUAACACGUGGGUAAUCUGCCCUAGAGUCUGGAAUAACUCGCCGAAAGGCGUGCUAAUGCCGGAUAAGACCACGGGAGCUUCGGCUCCUGCGGGAAAAGGUGGCCUCUGUAUACAAGCUAUCACUCUAGGAUGAGCCCGCGGCCCAUCAGCUAGUUGGCGGGGUAAUGGCCCACCAGGGCAACGACGGGUAGCUGGUCUGAGAGGACGAUCAGCCACACUGGAACUGAGACACGGUCCAGACUCCUACGGGAGGCAGCAGUGGGGAAUCUUGCGCAAUGGGCGAAAGCCUGACGCAGCAACGCCGCGUGUGUGAUGAAGGUCUUCGGAUCGUAAAGCACUGUCGCGAGGGACGAAUAAGGGUCGGGUGAACAAUCCGGUCCGAUGACGGUACCUCGAGAGGAAGCACCGGCUAACUCUGUGCCAGCCGCCGCAGUAACAC